UGCCUGAGCCCGCCAAGUCCGCUCC
rnacentral:piRNA from 1 species